AUUCUCGGCGGGCCUUGUGUGUACCGUCAAAAUUGAAAAAAAAUUCACUGAACAAUGGACCAAUCUCGGCGGGCUAUAAAAAGGCUGCCGAGAUCGGUCCCCUUAAAAUUUGAAGCUGACGGUUAUGGGCAUCAAGACUACCCAAUCUUGACAGAAACAUUAUGGCCCGCCGAGAUCGGUCCUUGAAAAAACCCUAAUCAACUGCCCAACCCGUCACAAUGUGUGGCGAGUGUUGGAGAAGACAUUGGGGAUGGGACAACGCCAGAGCUAGGGACGACGAAACAUGGUCACUGGAUACGAACACUAUUGAAUUUUAUCUUGUGGAAGAAAUUAUAUAGAGUUCAUGCUACCCUUUUGCAAGAUAAUGAAGACAAAGUAUGAGUGGAGUAGGGGUGCCCCUGAAACUAUUUAAGAUUAGAGCAGAUUCAACCAAUGUAUUGUCAAAACUGAAAGGCUAAUCACAUGAAUUGGUUGUUGAUAUUCUUGAAAAUGUUGCUUAAGGGGAUAAGCCACUACUAGAAAAUGAGGAUUAAGAAAAAAAAAAUAGUUGGUUGUUACUUUCAUGAGAGUUCAUGAGAGGAGAUAUAUUGGUUGCCAUAUUUGUAAAGUGACCAAGUGUGUAUGUUACAUUUAUUUUUGUAUAUUUGCUUUGAAAGAUUUUUAUUAUUAAUUAUGUAUUGUAUAGAAAUCAUUUUUGUUUGAUAUUUUUGGAAUAAAAUUUGGUUAUUAUAUA